rnacentral:rRNA from 1 species
UGGGGAAUUUUGGACAAUGGGGGAAACCCUGAUCCAGCCAUCCCGCGUGUGCGAUGAAGGCCUUCGGGUUGUAAAGCACUUUUGGCAGGAAAGAAACGUCGCGGGUUAAUACCCCGCGAAACUGACGGUACCUGCAGAAUAAGCACCGGCUAACUACGUGCCAGCAGCCGCGGUAGUACGUAGGGUGCAAGCGUUAAUCGGAAUUACUGGGCGUAAAGCGUGCGCAGGCGGUUCGGAAAGAAAGAUGUGAAAUCCCAGAGCUUAACUUUGGAACUGCAUUUUUAACUACCGGGCUAGAGUGUGUCAGAGGGAGGUGGAAUUCCGCGUGUAGCAGUGAAAUGCGUAGAUAUGCGGAGGAACACCGAUGGCGAAGGCAGCCUCCUGGGAUAACACUGACGCUCAUGCACGAAAGCGUGGGGAGCAAACAGGAUUAGAUACCCGUGGUAGUCCACGCCCUAAACGAUGCUCAACUAGCUGUUGGGGCCUUCGGGCCUUGGUAGCGCAGCUAACGCGUGAAGUUGACCGCCUGGGGAGUACGGUCGC